rnacentral:lncRNA from 1 species
AGGUAAAAAGAUUAUUGUUUUUUAAAAGUAAACCCUUAUAUAUAUAUUAAAAAAGAUACCUGCCACCCCACCCCUUUGUUCUUUCUUGUUCAUUUGCAAACACACACUCUGCUCUUAUUCUCCUCCACCAAACCCAUCCACCCCCACUCUUGCUCUUUCUUGUUCAUCCGUAAACACCGACCCUGCUCUCGCUCUUUCUUUUUUCCCCCACGAAAUCCAUCUGCAUCAUUUUUUAUUCUGUGACCUCCUUUCCACCCGUCAAUUUCAUAAAUAGAAUUAUUUCAAAAUCAAUAAAUAGAACUACAAGUUGUAUGCUGCCGCAAGCAGAGCAAAAAAGAAACAGUAUCAAAUUUGAAGAAAAUCAAGAAAUUAUUGAUCAGCCUUACAACAACGAAAAAUAUCAAGUCUUGGAGAUUUUAAAAUUGAGAAAAUUAUUUGACUUGUGAAAAUUUGAAUUAGUUAUGUACUUCUUCUUCUCAAUAACGAAUUUUUAAAAAAGUAUGUCAAAAUUUAUAAUUUUUUGUACAUAUUUUUUUUUUUCUUGAAGAAAUUGGUAAAAUGUAAUAAAAGUGGAAGUGAAGGGUUAGAAGAAGGAGAAAGAGAACUGUAUUGGGUGCGUGGGUGGGGGAUGUAAGAAGAAAGAACAAGAGAAAG